UACGUAGGAGGCGAGCGUUGUCCGGAAUUACUGGGCGUAAAGAGCGCGUAGGCGGCACGGUACGACCGGUGUGAAAGCCCCCGGCUCAACUGGGGAGGGUCACCGGUAACGGUCGAGCUAUGAGUGCAGGAGAGGGAAGUGGAACUCCGGGAGUAGCGGUGAAAUGCGUAGAGACCCGGAGGAACACCAGUGGCGAAGGCGGCUUCCUGGUCUGCGACUGACGCUGUGGCGCGAAAGCGUGGGGAGCAAACAGG
rnacentral:rRNA from 1 species